rnacentral:rRNA from 1 species
UUAAGCGACUAAGCGUACACGGUGGAUGCCCUGGCAGUCAGAGGCGAUGAAGGACGUGCUAAUCUGCGAUAAGCGUCGGUAAGGUGAUAUGAACCGUUAUAACCGGCGAUUUCCGAAUGGGGAAACCCAGUGUGUUUCGACACACUAUCAUUAACUGAAUCCAUAGGUUAAUGAGGCGAACCGGGGGAACUGAAACAUCUAAGUACCCCGAGGAAAAGAAAUCAACCGAGAUUCCCCCAGUAGCGGCGAGCGAACGGGGAGCAGCCCAGAGCCUGAAUCAGUGUGUGUGUUAGUGGAAGCGUCUGGAAAGGCGCGCGAUACAGGGUGACAGCCCCGUACACAAAAAUGCACAUAUUGUGAGCUCGAUGAGUAGGGCGGGACACGUGGUAUCCUGUCUGAAUAUGGGGGGACCAUCCUCCAAGGCUAAAUACUCCUGACUGACCGAUAGUGAACCAGUACCGUGAGGGAAAGGCGAAAAGAACCCCGGCGAGGGGAGUGAAAAAGAACCUGAAACCGUGUACGUACAAGCAGUGGGAGCACGCUUAGGCGUGUGACUGCGUACCUUUUGUAUAAUGGGUCAGCGACUUAUAUUCUGUAGCAAGGUUAACCGAAUAGGGGAGCCGAAGGGAAACCGAGUCUUAACUGGGCGUUAAGUUGCAGGGUAUAGACCCGAAACCCGGUGAUCUAGCCAUGGGCAGGUUGAAGGUUGGGUAACACUAACUGGAGGACCGAACCGACUAAUGUUGAAAAAUUAGCGGAUGACUUGUGGCUGGGGGUGAAAGGCCAAUCAAACCGGGAGAUAGCUGGUUCUCCCCGAAAGCUAUUUAGGUAGCGCCUCGUGAAUUCAUCUCCGGGGGUAGAGCACUGUUUCGGCAAGGGGGUCAUCCCGACUUACCAACCCGAUGCAAACUGCGAAUACCGGAGAAUGUUAUCACGGGAGACACACGGCGGGUGCUAACGUCCGUCGUGAAGAGGGAAACAACCCAGACCGCCAGCUAAGGUCCCAAAGUCAUGGUUAAGUGGGAAACGAUGUGGGAAGGCCCAGACAGCCAGGAUGUUGGCUUAGAAGCAGCCAUCAUUUAAAGAAAGCGUAAUAGCUCACUGGUCGAGUCGGCCUGCGCGGAAGAUGUAACGGGGCUAAACCAUGCACCGAAGCUGCGGCAGCGACGCUGAUGCGUUGUUGGGUAGGGGAGCGUUCUGUAAGCCUGCGAAGGUGUGCUGUGAGGCAUGCUGGAGGUAUCAGAAGUGCGAAUGCUGACAUAAGUAACGAUAAAGCGGGUGAAAAGCCCGCUCGCCGGAAGACCAAGGGUUCCUGUCCAACGUUAAUCGGGGCAGGGUGAGUCGACCCCUAAGGCGAGGCCGAAAGGCGUAGUCGAUGGGAAACAGGUUAAUAUUCCUGUACUUGGUGUUACUGCGAAGGGGGGACGGAGAAGGCUAUGUUGGCCGGGCGACGGUUGUCCCGGUUUAAGCGUGUAGGCUGGUUUUCCAGGCAAAUCCGGAAAAUCAAGGCUGAGGCGUGAUGACGAGGCACUACGGUGCUGAAGCAACAAAUGCCCUGCUUCCAGGAAAAGCCUCUAAGCAUCAGGUAACAUCAAAUCGUACCCCAAACCGACACAGGUGGUCAGGUAGAGAAUACCAAGGCGCUUGAGAGAACUCGGGUGAAGGAACUAGGCAAAAUGGUGCCGUAACUUCGGGAGAAGGCACGCUGAUAUGUAGGUGAGGUCCCUCGCGGAUGGAGCUGAAAUCAGUCGAAGAUACCAGCUGGCUGCAACUGUUUAUUAAAAACACAGCACUGUGCAAACACGAAAGUGGACGUAUACGGUGUGACGCCUGCCCGGUGCCGGAAGGUUAAUUGAUGGGGUUAGCCGCAAGGCGAAGCUCUUGAUCGAAGCCCCGGUAAACGGCGGCCGUAACUAUAACGGUCCUAAGGUAGCGAAAUUCCUUGUCGGGUAAGUUCCGACCUGCACGAAUGGCGUAAUGAUGGCCAGGCUGUCUCCACCCGAGACUCAGUGAAAUUGAACUCGCUGUGAAGAUGCAGUGUACCCGCGGCAAGACGGAAAGACCCCGUGAACCUUUACUAUAGCUUGACACUGAACAUUGAGCCUUGAUGUGUAGGAUAGGUGGGAGGCUUAGAAGUGUGGACGCCAGUCUGCAUGGAGCCGACCUUGAAAUACCACCCUUUAAUGUUUGAUGUUCUAACGUUGACCCGUAAUCCGGGUUGCGGACAGUGUCUGGUGGGUAGUUUGACUGGGGCGGUCUCCUCCUAAAGAGUAACGGAGGAGCACGAAGGUUGGCUAAUCCUGGUCGGACAUCAGGAGGUUAGUGCAAUGGCAUAAGCCAGCUUGACUGCGAGCGUGACGGCGCGAGCAGGUGCGAAAGCAGGUCAUAGUGAUCCGGUGGUUCUGAAUGGAAGGGCCAUCGCUCAACGGAUAAAAGGUACUCCGGGGAUAACAGGCUGAUACCGCCCAAGAGUUCAUAUCGACGGCGGUGUUUGGCACCUCGAUGUCGGCUCAUCACAUCCUGGGGCUGAAGUAGGUCCCAAGGGUAUGGCUGUUCGCCAUUUAAAGUGGUACGCGAGCUGGGUUUAGAACGUCGUGAGACAGUUCGGUCCCUAUCUGCCGUGGGCGCUGGAGAACUGAGGGGGGCUGCUCCUAGUACGAGAGGACCGGAGUGGACGCAUCACUGGUGUUCGGGUUGUCAUGCCAAUGGCACUGCCCGGUAGCUAAAUGCGGAAGAGAUAAGUGCUGAAAGCAUCUAAGCACGAAACUUGCCCCGAGAUGAGUUCUCCCUGACUCCUUGAGAGUCCUGAAGGAACGUUGAAGACGACGACGUUGAUAGGCCGGGUGUGUAAGCGCAGCGAUGCGUUGAGCUAACCGGUACUAAUGAACCGUGAGGCUUAACCUU